rnacentral:rRNA from 1 species
UACGUAGGGGGGCAAGCGUUGUCCGGAUUUAUUGGGUGUAAAGAGCGUGUAGGCGGCUAGGUAGGUCCGUUGUGAAAACUCGAGGCUCAACCUCGAGACGUCGAUGGAAACCAUCUAGCUAGAGUCCGGAAGAGGAGAGUGGAAUUCCUGGUGUAGCGGUGAAAUGCGCAGAUAUCAGGAAGAACACCCGUGGCGAAGGCGGCUCUCUGGUACGUGACUGACGCUGAGACGCGAAAGCGUGGGGAGCGAACAGG